ensembl:rRNA 5S_rRNA 5S ribosomal RNA
UGCCACAGCCAUAUCACCCUGCAGCCCAAGACUGGUUGCCCACGGAAGCUAAGCAGGGUUGAGCCUGGUCAGUACCUGGAUGGGAGACCUCCUGGGAAAACUAGGUUGCUGUUGGAA